rnacentral:lncRNA from 1 species
AAGGGCUUAUAAGUCCCAUUCCAUAAAAAAGAGCAGAGCACCUCGGGGAGAGGGCCUAAGAUGCUUCAGACCCUCUGAGCCCCUUUGUCUGCGUGGAACGGGUCUCUAGUCGCGGGUGGACAAAGCGUAGGAUGAGUGACAAACAGACGCACACAGGAGAGGUCGAGGAAUCUGAAUGUCAUUUUUCAAAUCGAGCAUCAGACUUUUUAUGCAGAAGACAAUAAGGAAGUUGGAUGACAUACCUGCAAGCUUUCCCAGAUAUCUCUGAAGAUACCAUUUUGAAUAGGACUCACAUCACUCACUGCCUUGGUAGGGUCAUCUUUGUUCCACAAGAGGAAAACUGUCCACGAGAGGGUGGAGAUCACUCUGGCCAUGCAUAAUCAGAUUAACAUCAACGGUCCUUUACUCUGAAGAAGCCAUGGAGACCCCUCUUGCUGAUUAAGCCAGCUCAGGCUCCUGUGGAUGCUAUGGCCCUGGGCACUGAGCCCAGCAUCUGAACUUGUUCCUGGACCAGAGGUUCGAGAUGUCCACUUCUGAGGCCAUUUACUUCUUUGUGGGCCACCAGCUGUU